rnacentral:rRNA from 1 species
AUUGAACGCUGGCGGCAUGCCUUACACAUGCAAGUCGAACGGUAACAGGUCUUCGGAUGCUGACGAGUGGCGAACGGGUGAGUAAUACAUCGGAACGUGCCUAGUAGUGGGGGAUAACUACUCGAAAGAUUGGCUAAUACCGCAUGACAUCUACGGAUGACAGCAGGGGAUCGCAAGACCUUGUGCUACUAUAGCGGCCGAUGGCAGAUUAGGUAGUUGGUGGGAUAAAAGCUUACCAAGCCGACGAUCUGUAGCUGGUCUGAGAGGACGAUCAGCCACACUGGGACUGAGACACGGCCCAGACUCCCACGGGAGGCAGCAGUGGGGAAUUUUGGACAAUGGGCGCAAGCCUGAUCCAGCAAUGCCGCGUGCAGGAAGAAGGCCUUCGGGUUGUAAACUGCUUUUGUCAGGGAAGAAAUCUUCUGGGCUAAUACCCCGGGAGGAUGACGGUACCUGAAGAAUAAGCACCGGCUAACUACGUGCCAGCAGCCGCCGUAA